rnacentral:rRNA from 1 species
GUCUGCCCUGGGUGAGUCGGGUCCUAAGGCGAGGCCGACAGGCGUAGUCGAUGGGUAACCAGUUGAUAUUCUGGUACCGGCUUGUCACCGUCCGUGUCGAGGUGUGUGAUGCUAAGCAUGUGAGCUUGUCUUGGGAGUGUUUUUGAUGCUUCUGGGGUGGGUGAGUGUGUGAACCGAUCAUGUAGUAGGCAAGCUGCGGAGGGACGCAGUGAGGUAGCUCAUCCCCGGUGAUGGUUGUCCGGGGCUAAGUGUGUGGACUGUCUGGUAGGUAAAUCCGCUGGGCGUGAAGGUUGAGGCAUGAUGGGGAGCCCAUGGUUGUGGGUGAGUGAGUGAUCCUGUACUGUCGAGAAAAGCUUCGUGAGCGAGGUGGCGGGUCCGCCCGUACCCUAAACCGACACUGGUGGAUAGGUAGAGUAUACCGAGGCGAUCGAGUGAAUCGUGGUGAAGGAACUCGGCAAAAUGCCCCCGUAACUUUGGGAUAAGGGGGACCUGAGCUGUCGUGCACCCGUGCGGUGUGGUGGCGGUGAGGGGCGCAGAGUCCAGGGGGAAACGACUGUUUACCAAAAACACAGGUCCGUGCGAAGUCGUAAGACGAUGUAUACGGACUGAUGCCUGCCCGGUGCUGGAAGGUUAAUUGAUGGGGUUAGCGUAAGCGAAGCUCUUGAUCGAAGCCCCAGUAAACGGCGGCCGUAACAAUAACGGUCCUAAGGUAGCGAAAUUCCUUGUCGGGUAAGUUCCGACCUGCACGAAUGGAGUAAUGAUGGCGGGGCUGUCUCCACCCGAGACUCAGUGAAAUUGAACUCGCUGUGAAGAUGCAGUGUACCCGCGGCAAGACGGAAAGACCCCGUGAACCUUUACUAUAGCUUGACACUGAACCUUGAGCCUUGAUGUGUAGGAUAGGUGGGAGGCUUGGAAGUGCGGACGCCAGUCUGCAUGGAGCCAACCUUGAAAUACCACCCUUGAAUGUUUGAUGUUCUAACGCAGGCCCGUGAUCCGGGUUGCGGACAGUGUCUGGUGGGUAGUUUGACUGGGGCGGUCUCCUCCCAAAGCGUAACGGAGGAGCACGAAGGUUAGCUAAUCACGGUCGGACAUCGUGAGGUUAGUGCAAUGGCAUAAGCUGGCUUGACUGCGAGAGUGACAGCUCGAGCAGGUGCGAAAGCAGGUCAUAGUGAUCCGGUGGUUCUGAAUGGAAGGGCCAUCGCUCAACGGAUAAAAGGUACUCCGGGGA